rnacentral:rRNA from 1 species
GAUGAACGCUGGCGGCGUGCCUAAUACAUGCAAGUAGAACGCUGAAGGAGGAGCUUGCUCUUCUGGAUGAGUUGCGAACGGGUGAGUAACGCGUAGGUAACCUGCCUGGUAGCGGGGGAUAACUAUUGGAAACGAUAGCUAAUACCGCAUGACAACAGUUAUUGCAUGAUAACUGUUUAAAAGGGGCAACUGCUCCAAUACCAGAUGGAACUGCGUUGUAUUAGCUAGUUGGUGAGGUAACGGCUCACCAAGGCGACGAUACAUAGCCGACCUGAGAGGGGGAUCGGCCACACUGGGACUGGGACACGGCCCAGACUCCUACGGGAGGCAGCAGUAGGGAAUCUUCGGCAAUGGACGGAAGUCUGACCGAGCAACGCCGCGUGAGUGAAGAAGGUUUUCGGAUCGUAAAGCUCUGUUGUAAGAGAAGAACGAGUGUGAGAGUGGAAAGUUCACACUGUGACGGUAUCUUACCAGAAAGGGACGGCUAACUACGUG